GGGAGGCAUCCAGCAGCAGCUUCCAAGAUGGCUGCGGGCAGCCUCCAGCUGAAGCAGACAAAGAGCCGGGCCUCAGAGCUCAGGAGCCCAGCUUGCACAGCCCACUGCAGGCUGCCUGGAGCCUCCAGCCAGAAGGGAAGGAAGGGAGCAGAACAGGACUCUGCAGCCCCGGGUCCUGGGCCAGGUCUCUGCCGGGAAGAAGAGAGGCCAUGAAUGUGAGUCCAAGAGAGGGCCAGAAGGAGAGAGCAAGGGGGCAUGUGUCAAGACCAGCAUUGACCAGCUAGGCGGGAGGUGACUAGUUAAAACACAAAAGGCCUUCCUGACACAACUCUUGGCUCCGAUGUGAUAGCCCCACGGCUAUGUGAAAUCGCCCGUUACAUUUGUACAGAACUUUGCACAUCCAGAGGACUUUCUCAGGUUCCUUUUCGCUGAUACUUGCCUCAGAGCCGGAGGGCCCCUCGAGCUAGCCUUAUUUUAUAUAAGAGGAAACUGAGGUUUGCUCCAGACACCCAGUGGCUGGCGGCAGGCAGAGGAUCCUCCUCAGUCUAGUCUGUGCACUGUUCCACUGCACGCGGAGACCAACACCCUGCCCAAAUGGGAAAGCGGGUUCGACACUAAUUAUAUUUUAAAAUGCCAGAGCGCUCUUUUCCUCUGGCCAUAGCUCAAUAAGUAGAGCGAAGGGGAGAAACGUACGGAAAGAUAAAAGUAACCUGGGAUUAAUUUUCCUCACACCUCAGUUUCAAGAUUCAACAUUCCCCUCAUAAAUAAUUUACAACAAUAAAAAUGAGCUAAGGCCA